rnacentral:rRNA from 1 species
UACGUAGGGUGCAAGCGUUGUCCGGAAUUAUUGGGCGUAAAGAGCUCGUAGGCGGUCUGUUGCGUCGGCUGUGAAAACCCGGGGCUCAACCCCGGGCCUGCAGCCGAUACGGGCAGACUAGAGUUCGGCAGGGGAGACUGGAAUUCCUGGUGUAGCGGUGAAAUGCGCAGAUAUCAGGAGGAACACCGGUGGCGAAGGCGGGUCUCUGGGCCGACACUGACGCUGAGGAGCGAAAGCGUGGGGAGCGAACAGG